rnacentral:rRNA from 1 species
CCCUUAGAUGUUCUGGGCCGCACGCGCGCUACACUGACGAAGUCAGCGAGCAUCUCCUUCGCCGAAAGGUGCGGGGAAUCUUGUGAAACUUUGUCGUGCUGGGGAUUGAUUUUUGAAAUUCUUGAUCAUCAACGAGGAAUUCCUAGUAAGCGCAAGUCAGCAGCUUGCGUUGAUUACGUCCCUGCCCUUUGUACACACCGCCCGUCGCUACUACCGAUUGAAUGCUCAGGUGAGCCAUUCGGACUUUCAUCAUGCUGGUUUCCAGUUUUGAUGAAGGAAAGUCUUGCGAACCUUAUCAUUUAGAGGAAGGAGAAGUCGUAACA